UGGUAGACUGGAACAAGAAGCUGA
rnacentral:miRNA from 1 species